rnacentral:rRNA from 1 species
CCUCUAGUAAGGGCGACUGAAGCAGGAAGAGCUCACCUUGUGAAUCUACACACUUGUUGUGUCGAAUUGUGGUCUGUAGAAGUAUUGUCUGUCGCGGUUCUGGAUUAAGUAGCCUGGAAAGGCUCAGCAGAGAGGGUGAGACUCCCGUUCUUGUCUAGGAUCGUUGGCGUUAGUACAUGCUUUCAACGAGUCGAGUUGUUUGGGAUUGCAGCUCAAAGUGGGUGGUAAAUUCCAUCUAAAGCUAAAUAUUGGCAUGAGACCGAUAGCGUACAAGUACCGUGAGGGAAAGAUGCAAAGAACUUUGAAAAGAGAGUUAAAGAGUACCUGAAAUUGCUGAAAGGGAAGCGAAGGAAACCAGUGUCAGAUUUGCCUGUAUUUCCUCUUUCUGUCAAGAGAGAGGCGCUGUGGGUAUGUUUGGGCCAACAUCUGUUUGAUUUUGAAUAAAUUGCUUGUAAGGAGGUAGGUUCUUCGGGACCAAUGACUUGCUUGUGUUAUUUAGGAUUGGACAGAGGACAGUCGUUAUGCGAUCGUGAUGUUGGCAAAAUGGUUUUCUUUACCCCGUCUUGAAACACGGACCAAGGAGUCUAACAUAUGUGCGAGUAUAGGAGUGGCAAACUCCCAUGCGCAAUGAAAGUAACAGUGGUAGGACCUUUUUGGGCACUAUCCGCCGGCCACAAUCCUUCGGGAGAAAGGUCUGAGUGUGAGCAUACAUGUUGGGACCCGAAAGAUGGUGAACUAUGCCUGAAUAGGGCGAAGCCAGGGGAAACUCUGGUGGAGGCUCGUAGCGAUUCUGACGUGCAAAUCGAUCGUCAAAUUUGGGUAUAGGGGCGAAAGACUAAUCGAACCAUCUA